UUUUUAUUUUUAACGUCACAUGUGAUCAUUGCGACUGGGGAAGUAUACAGAGUGGUUUAAUGAUGUUCAUUCAACUGAUAUCUCUGAUGUCUUCGAGGAUGUUCUCAACCUUCUAUCGAAAAGCCAUGGAUGUAAGACAAUAGAGAUAGUAAUACCAGAACUACAUGAGAUGCGUUG